rnacentral:rRNA from 1 species
UUCCUACGGGAGGCAGCAGUGAGGAAUAUUGGUCAAUGGUCGGGAGACUGAACCAGCCAAGCCGCGUGAGGGAGGAAGGUACAGAGUAUCGUAAACCUCUUUUGUCAGGGAACAAAGACUGGGACGCGUCCCCGGAUGAGUGUACCUGAAGAAAAAGCAUCGGCUAACUCCGUGCCAGCAGCCGCGGUAAUACGGAGGAUGCGAGCGUUAUCCGGAUUUACUGGGUGUAAAGGGAGCGUAGACGGCUGUGCAAGCCAGAUGUGAAAGCCCGGGGCUCAACCCCGGGACUGCAUUUGGAACUGUGU